rnacentral:misc_RNA from 1 species
GUGAGUCAUCGAAUCUUUGAACGCACAUUGCGCCCUUUGGUAUUCCUUAGGGCAUGCCUGUUCGAGCGUCAUCUAACCCCCUCAAGCACUGCUUGGUGUUGGGCGCUUUGUCCCGCCUCGGGCGUGGACUCGCCUCAAAAACAUUGGCGGCCUGUGUAUUGGCUUCGAGCGCAGCAGACUCGCGCCUCGUAACCCUCUAGCACGGGCGUCCAUCAAGACACCCCAAAGUUUGACCUCGGAUCAGGUAGGGAUACCCGCUGAACUUAAGCAUAUCAAUAAGCGGAGGA